rnacentral:rRNA from 1 species
CCUACGGGGGGCUGCAGUGGGGAAUAUCGCACAAUGGGCGCAAGCCUGAUGCAGCCAUGCCGCGUGUGUGAAGAAGGCCUUCGGGUUGUAAAGCACUUUCAGCGGGGAGGAAGGCGUUAAGGUUAAUAACCUUGUCGAUUGACGUUACCCGCAGAAGAAGCACCGGCUAACUCCGUGCCAGCAGCCGCGGUAAUACGGAGGGUGCAAGCGUUAAUCGGAAUUACUGGGCGUAAAGCGCACGCAGGCGGUCUGUCAAGUCGGAUGUGAAAUCCCCGGGCUCAACCUGGGAACUGCAUUCGAAACUGGCAGGCUAGAGUCUUGUAGAGGGGGGUAGAAUUCCAGGUGUAGCGGUGAAAUGCGUAGAGAUCUGGAGGAAUACCGGUGGCGAAGGCGGCCCCCUGGACAAAGACUGACGCUCAGGUGCGAAAGCGUGGGGAGCAAACAGGAUUAGAUACCCUAUAGUC